rfam:Botryobasidium botryosum FD-172 SS1 unplaced genomic scaffold BOTBOscaffold_61, whole genome shotgun sequence.
GGUGAGAUGGCCGAGUGGUCUAAGGCGCCAGAUUUAGGCACUUGAUGCAAACCUCUGGUCCUCCGGGGCGUGGGUUCGAACCCCACUCUCAUCA